ensembl:lncRNA novel transcript
AGGCGGGGCUGGCUGUUGGAGGAAUGUGCGAGGAUCUCCGUGGCCGGUGUCUGAAGUCGUCAGUUUACUGCUUGUAAUGAACAUAGUGAUCACUGGGAACCUGGAAGUAGAGACUCCUUUGCGCCGUCCCGCCGUCCCUCUGGCUGCUGCGAAUCCCCCCGCCAGCCUCCAGGACCCCGGGCUGGCUCAACGCCCCCACCGGCCCCGCCGCCCCAGGGCCCGCUACGCGCCCGGCAUAAUGGGAGAAAAAUCAGGACGGAAAGGCCCAGCCCCUCGCCAUGCAGACGGGAAGCUCGGCCUGCACAUGUGAGGACCCUUACGCCCCUUGGGGCUUCACCCCCUUUGCUGGCUCCAAUAGUCUGGGUCGGGGCCUCCUUGUCCUGUGGGGGCCUCUGGGCCACAAGAACACAGGCCCGAGCCCCGGCGAGCUCGCGGGCCUCCCACCAGCCGUGCUCAGGCUGCACUUCUGCACCCCAGCCCUGCACCUGCGGGACCACCUGGGUCACUUUUCCAUUCUGAUAAAGUCCCCGUACUUCGUGGCUGCAGGCUCCUCAAGCCCCAGGUCUGUGCAGGGAUGAGCAAAACAGCAGAAUAUCCGCGCUACAUCUUUCUGGAGCACCCAUUUUACUACCAGAUUUGGAAGGAACAAAGUUAAGUAAUUUCCAGGAUAAGUAAUUAAAAUUUUAUGAUGAAAAGGCUGGAAACUCUUCUCCUGGUAAUAACUGUCAGACAUAUCUGUGCCUGAAAUGUCAGACUUUCUCUGAGAAAAAAACUGAGAACCUGUUUCCCAUUAUUUUAAAUAGGAAACAUUAUAGGGCACAGCAAGUCAAUAGAAAAAAACCUACCAAUUUCCUAAUUCACAGUGUGGCAGUAGGUUUAAGUUGCACGUAAGUUAGCAGGUAAAAUGCUUAAAUGUUACCACGUGGUCACCCACAUUUGAUAUGGUUGUUAACAUGCAGUUGCCUUGGAUGCAGUAGCUUUGGCUUGAGACCAGCAACAUCACACGUGAACCUCUCCUUUGUCAACACACCAAAGCUUUUUGAAGUGACCGUCAUGAUCCUGAUGGUCUACCAGUUGUUUCUGGAAGCAACAUGUGGCUUUUCCAGCAAAGUAUUUAGUUUAAAAUGUUGUAAUUUUUGAAAGCUCAAACAUUAUCUCUACAACCAUCAGCCGAAAAAUUUGAGACAGGUUCUUGCUCUUUUGCCUGAACUGCACCAUGAUAGGGGCUCCAGCGAUCCACCUGCUUCAGCCUCCCCAGAAGCUGAGACCACAGGUGUGUGCCACCAUGCCUGUUAAUUUCUAAAUUUUUUGUAGAAAUUACAUCUCCCCACAUUGCCGAGGCUGGUCUUGAACUUCUAGACUCAAGCAAUUUUCCUGACUUGGCCUCCUAAAGUGCUGGAAUUACAGACGUGAGUCACCGACCGCACCUAGCCUGAAAAAUGUUUUGUGAGAUAAAUAGCUGCUAUACAGUUUAGAUAUUAAAAACUAAGAUGUGUUCUCCCAGGAAAGUAAUAAUUUUGGAUAUAUUCUGUGUCACAUCCUGUAUGAUGAAAUAGAUGGCAAAAGAAUCCCAUUUAAUUUAAAGAUGGAAGCUGUAACUUCAAGUAAAUUUGGAGCUGAGGAGUCCUUUCGGGCUAUGACCCCAGAAUUCUGGGGUUCUCUGUACUGAUAUUUUGCUAGUGUCCACACACAAGCAUUCCUUAAUGCUGUGCGUUAAACAAAUAGACCUUCUUUGACCCCAGAUUUCUCUCCAUUUACCAUUCUGUUUCUCUGCUCCAUGCAACUACCUCACCUCAUGUCCUCUCUUGAACCCACUCCUUUCUAGCUUUUCUCCAGGGUACUUUGCUGAAACGACUUUUAUCUCAGUCAUUUAGCUGCAUUUGACACAGAUGAUACAAUUAAGGAGUUCCUCCUUGAAACUCUUUCUUCUGGAUUUUAAAGACCUUCCGUCCUGGAUUCCCUCUCACCUUUUUCUUCAUCCUCCUGCUCCUCCUCUACCAGAUCUCUAGUGAUCCUCUCAGAAUGAUCCCACAUAGUCUCAUAGCUUUAAAUACCAUCCAUCUGUUGAUAACCACUAGGCUUGGGGCCUCUUCCCUGAGGGGAGCACCAAGAGUCUUCCCUGACUCUUUUCCCUUCGCCCCCAACCCCCAUGCAACCAUACAGCAAGUCCUGUGGCUCUUGAGUGCAACCAGCAACCUGAUUCACCAUCUCCAUUUCCACAACCAGUUUCAGUCAUCUUCCUCUCCUACUGGUCUACUGCCAAAAAUCCUCCUACUGCCAAAAAUCCUCCAACCUCCCUGCAUCCUAUCUUGCCCUCCUGCAGUCCAGCCUCCACUCAAGCAUCCAGAGUGAUCUCUUGAAAAUGUUAAAACAUGAUAUAAGCAUACCCCCACCCCUGUGUAAACCCUGCCACUGUCUACUCAUUGCAGUAGAAUAAAAGUUCAGACAACCUGGUGCCUGCCUCUUAAGCCUCAUCUCCUACCCUUGCUUGUUCUUGCUAUGUGGGUCAGAUUUUCCGGUCUCCAGAGCUGAAAACAAUCUUAACUGACAGGCAUUAGAUCAUAGACUCUAUCUACAGCAUAAGGCAUGGAAGGAAAAGUCUGAGAGAAUGAAGGGCCAGAAAAGUUCAUUUAAAAAAAAUAAAAAGCACAGGAAACUGGAAACAUAACUAACCUGUAUGUAUAUACUCAAAAGAACAUGGCAGCAAAAUGAACUCUUUAGAAACUGAGCCAACAGACUUGCAAAUGAAUAGAAAUACCUUUGGUCCUACUCUGAAAACAAAAAGAAUCCUUAGUGAAUAUACAAGAACAAAAAUUGUACACAUUUCUGGGUCAUAAUGCAAUAAAACUAGAAAUAAUCGAAAGAGAAUUUAAAGAUGUUCAGCUUCCUGAAAAUGUCAGAUUAUCCUUUUAAACAAAUUAAUGCCUAUGUCAGGGUGCAAAUCCAAAACACAAAUACCUUGCCUAUAAAAAUAUAUUUUUUCAAGCAACAGUGUAUCAGGAUGUAAGGAGAGAGCUCACUAACUCAGAAGCUCCCAGAGUGACCAGAUGUGUUCAUGGGAACCGGAGCACUGCCCUGGAGUCAUUUGACAUCACCUUAUUACAAACAGGAACAGCCAUGAUGGGGAAUGCUCAGAUGCCAGUAAUAAGUCAGAGGAUUCCCUCCUGAACGGGACCUCCCAGUCCUUUUUGGCACAGGGUUCCAGGUGUGACCACAAAUCCAUGGGUGAGGGCUUUCAAGAUCAACCUGCCCUCAGGCAGUGGAGUGGAAACUGGAACUAGCAGCUACAGUGGAAAAAAGGAAUGUCCUCUCAGAAUAUGUCAUCUGCCCCAUGCAAAGACUCUGGAUCUCAGAAGUCCUCCUGGUAAGGACUCGGAGCCAGACAACUUCAUUUCCUGUCACCUGGGCUGCUCUCCCUCUGACAGCUAUGGAAAUUGGUGAAGCACAGGAACGUAUUGGAAAUGGCAAUGAUGUGCAAUGCCAAUGUGUGGAAGUGUACAAGUUAAGUAAUAUUUUAAAAACAGAACACACAGCAGUUUGCACAAUCUGAUCAAAGCUCUGUCAUGUAUGUUUCUAAACAAGUUUGGAAGAGAAUUUGGAAAUGGCUGAAUUUUUUUAAUAAAGCUCAUGUUUUUAGUUUGUUU